GGGCAUUGUGGACCAUUGUCUAACAGGAAUGGUUCUCUCAGAACUGACUCAGGAAAUGGAUCUGGUUGAUUAUUCAAGACCUUCAGCAAAGCCUUGUAAAAGAGUUGCCUCAUUUCGUGACACCUCUUUGAAGGACAUACCGAUGUUUGUGUGCUCUUUUGAAGGAGUGGACGUGAAUCAAACUGGUGAUAAAUCAUAUUUCAUACACUGCUUUUGCCCCUGGCAUGUGCUCCUAUGGAACCAGGCUGGGACAGAAGUUCUUCAAGGGUCUCCAGGUGUGUGACCAUUCAAAGGAUGUUCCUGAAUUCCAGCCCCACUCUU
rnacentral:lncRNA from 1 species